UUUACAGCAUGGGUGUUGGACAUUCUUUUUGUUAAAUUAAAUCCUGUUUUAAAAUUUUUAAAAGCACAUUUGGUUUUAUCUAAUGACAAAGAAAACUAUGAUCUUUAUUAUCAUAGAAGCGUAAUGCAAGUAAAGGUCUUUUAGAAACCUCUGGUUGAGUCCAAUACCCUGCAUGUGGGUUUCCCAUUUGGGCUCGAGUGUUUAUGGGUUUGGAAUGGCAUGCAUGAGUCAUAUUGAGGUGAUCUUUCACAUUGUUCUUACAUGUAAUCACUGACUUCAUUUGGAAAGCUCUGGUACCAAUUUGAUCAGUAAACAUUCAUGCUCACUGCUUUUCAUUAUCUGCUAGUUCCAAAACAAUAGGAAGGGGGAAAAAAACCCACCCACAGACUUACUUUUCUUUGCUUUGACUUCCUCAUCCAACUUGAUGUAAAGGUAUCUGGGGCUUUCAGGACAGAAGAGGAGCAGCAGAGACUGGAGGAUGGCUGGCAGAGCAGACAAACCAAGCAGGAUAUGCCACUGCUCAUGACUGCCCAAGAUGAAGUUGAGGCCGACAAUCUGAAGAGGCAGGGAGGAAACAUAGCAGGAAGGAAAACGAAGCUGUUUCUAAAACAUCUGGGCAGUUUCACUUACCCGCGGCUGAUGAUUCUUCAUCCUCUUCAUCUUCAUCGGUGGGAGAUGUCUGGUAAACUCUGGGGUCCACAAAGGGGGUGAAGGAGGCCUUCGUGCUGCUCCCCAUGCCAUACUAAUGGAAAGGCAAGAGGAUUAAGAAGAACAGAUAAGUACUACAGGAAUGAACAAUGCCAAAAAUACUUUGCUUGGGCUUUAGAAUGGUUACAGAUUCUUCAAUCUAUUUAGCUUGUUCACACUCUGACCCUUGGAGUCAAGGUGUGCCUCUCUCUCCAGCUUCUCCCGGUGCUGGCUACUCACUGGCCAUUCUGCCUUUGCAGGGCUCCAUUAAUUGUCAGAUUGCAAGAGUUGCUGGGGGCAAAUUAUAUUUUGGACCACAUGGUAAGAUGACUGUGAUGACAGAGCUUAUCUCUCCCUUGAAGUACAAACAAUCGCAUAUUGACCAAAUGGUCUUAAGAAAAGCUGACACAAUAAACUAAGUAAGCAUGCCCACAUAGCAGCAUUUCAUCCUGAACAUCCGGUCCACCAAAAUCUCCCUCUUGGAGCCUUUGGGCCCUUGUAAGCUGACCUGGUGAUGCAGGUGGCUUGGUGUCGGCUCAAGAAGCCUUAAAAUCUUUAAUUCAGGGACAAUUUCAUCCAGGGAUUGAAUAUUUUUCCCUCCCAGAAUGGUCGCUUUAAAAGGAUACUCCUAUUUUCAUGCCUUAUUUAGGGACUUCAUGAAGAUACUAGAUUGGCAGGCAAUGCACAGAGGGCUUGCUUAAAAAAUAAAUCUCAAUAAAGACAUGAAGGCAGACUCGACUAGGGAACAGCGAACUAAAUAUCAGGGCUUCACCUGGUGAAAUUCCAUAUUUCAGCUCUGCCAAAGAAGGUACAAUAACCACUUCCUCAUCUUGUCUGUCAUCUCUAUUCCUUCUACUAUGCUCAAGUCCUCUUAAUAUCACAAACAGACCCGCAUUCAAUAUCAGAAUAUCUCCUUUCAGACAAAUGUCUUUAACUGAGUUUUCACUUUCUAGCUUUAUUUUCAGGUUUCCAUUUAGAAAUAAAAACAUCUCAGGACCCCUAAACACGUACGGAGGAAACCGCAAAGAUCCAAUUGAUUUUCCCUCCACCUUAUGAAAUUAAAAUGAUUUCACCCUCUACAAGGUAUACUGGUUAACCAUUCUGAUCCUGCUCUACAUAUGUGUACUGGAAAUGAACAACUAAGCAAGAAUUGGCAGAUUGUGACAGCCAGGUUUCCCGCUGUUGGAGUGGAAAUUGACAGACUGGCCAGCCCUGUCUCUCCAAUCUCUGCUGGACAGGACAGUAACCGGUGGCCCGAAAUGGCAUCUUAUCUACAGGGAGCGAGUGUGGUGUGAUGGCCAAUACUAGUAGGUGGGCUAAAGAAAUGGAGGUGAAUGAAGAGUGAAGUUGGAAUAAUCAGCGUUCCACUCUGUUAGAUUUAUACCAAGUCAGAGUGACAGCACCUUGUGUUUAUUCGGGGGAGAAAGCAAGAAAUGUAUGUGAGUGUGACUGUAUGAAUCCGUUUGCUUAAACUGGAGAAGCAACAGGGCAAGAGGAAUUCUCUCAUAGGACCCUAACCAAUGAGAAAAAGAAAAGUGAGCCUUUCCUUCACUUAACCAAAGAAAAGACGUAAAGGCUAUAAAUAAUAAGGGAGAUAUAGGUAGGCAUGCAUACAGGUAUAAAUAGCCAAAAGAAGACUGCAAAGAAAUGGACAGAUGUAUGUGGCAAAGUCACAGGCCACAGAGUAAAGGAUCACAUGAGAGAGACAGCGAAGAAGAAGAAAAUCACUACAGGGAUAUAUUUAAAUCAGACACUCAGAAGGUUCUCUGCAGGAUUAUUUGACCCCUGAUUCUUUUGCUGGGAUGCUAACCCACACUGCCACAUACGUUUGUGUUCCUCAUUCCUCCUCUUGUCGAGGUGAUGGUGAGGAAGGAACACAUGUCUAUGCUGUUAAAUUUUAACUCCUAAACUCCUAAACGUCAUUGCCCAUAAUUCCAU